rnacentral:tRNA from 1 species
UAGAAUGUAGUGUAAAGGAAACACAGAGAAUUUUGAGUUCUUUUUUUUUUAGGACAUCAGAGUAUUUAUUUUUGAGUUCUUAAAUGUAGUUUCAACUCCUAUUUUUCUAG